AUUGAACGCUGGCGGCAGGCUUAACACAUGCAAGUCGAGCGGGGUGAUGGUGCUUGCACUAUCACUUAGCGGCGGACGGGUGCGUAAUGCUUAGGAAUCUGCCUAUCAGUGGGUGACUACAUCUCGAAAGGGAUGCUUAUACCGCAUACGUCCUACGGGAGAAAGCAGGGGAUCACUUUUGACCUUGCUCUAAUAGAUUAUCUUUAUGCGGAUUAGCUAGUUUGUGGGGUACAGGCCUACCAAGGCGACGAUCUGUAGCGGGUCUGAGAGGGUGGUCAGGCACACUGGGACUGAGACGAGGCACAGAAUCCUCCGGGAGGCAGCAGUGGGGAAGAUUGGACAAUGGGGGGAACCCUUAUACAGCCAUGCCGCGUGUGUGAAGAAGGCCUUAUGGCUGUAAAGCACUUUAAGCGAGGAGGAGGCUCUUUUGGUUAAUACCCAAGAUGAGUGGACGUUACUCGCAGAAUAAGCACCGGCUAACUCUGUGCCAGCCGCCGCGGUAA
rnacentral:rRNA from 1 species